rnacentral:lncRNA from 1 species
UAAGAUCAAAUGUAGAAUCAACCAUAAGAGUAAGAGCCUCUUGAGAAUAUUCAAGUUUGGUCAUUCAUAUUAGGUCUAUCAAAAUAUUAAGUUCCAGUAACUUGGUAGCUUUAGAUGAAAAUACAAUUUUGGGCUCCUUAGAUCAUAAGAAACAAAAUCAUAUGAAAUUUCCAGAAAAGAAACAUGUAGAACCCAACAACCAAUAUGUGAAAAAAAGCCACUUAAAUCUUUAGUUUCUUUCAAGAUUUUCAGUUGAUUUUACUUCGGAGUUUAAUCAAAGAGCUUCAAGUUCAAGCACCAGUCGCUCUAUGACAUCACUGAUCUUUAAGAACAUUAUCUGAUACUCUUUGAGGGUUAUUAAAUCCUCCCUCUCCCAAAUUAUCACCUCAUUAGUCACUAGAUCAGUAUAUUUUUGUAUCUGCAGAUUCACUCCCUUAAGGUGUUGUAUCUGCCGUUCCAGGAAAUCCUCAACACGCUGGAAGAUGCAACAAACUUUUGUUCAUAACUAAUAAUAACUAUUAAGCCAUAAAGGAUGAACAGAAUAUACUCAUAUCUAGCACAUGCAAUAAUAAGAAAUUUAGCAAUGUGAGAAUACCUCAUUAGAAGAAGGCUGAAGGAAUUGAAAAAAAAGCGAAGAUGAGAACGGAGCUAGAUGGUCGAAGGAGUCGUCAAUCCU